ACUACUAGUAUUCUUUUAAUAUUUGCUUCUUUGCCUUACUUUUAGUUGUAAUGAAUGCUGUUAAGUGUUUUAAUGAUUAUGUUAUCCCUGUACUUAUUUUAGGUCUUUAUAAUGGUUUGAUAAAAACAGUUAAGUGUGUAUCAAACAUAAUGUGAUUAAGCCAAUGUAGAUUUUGCAUGUAAAGCUUGUUUUAAGUCAUUGUUAUCUCCCCAUUGCAUAUUAAAUUAAAAAUAAACCAUAUAAUUGUUUAAGUUAUAAAUGCUUUGUAUCAUAAUUGUAUGUAAUCAAAAGCAAGUCAAAAAAAAAAUGAAGCUGAUUGUGAAGAACUUGACAUCUUUUUGGCUCAAUGUAGCUAGGUCAACAGACUACAUGUAUUCAAAGUGCUCACUUAAGGGAAACCCUGUCCGCUUAAUUGUAUUUCUGAAAUGCACACACCCUUUACAUAUCUGCCUAGCUUGAGUAUAUUAUAUCAUUAUGUAAUUAGCAUUGUAUGCAUUGAACGCAUGUGUAUUAUAGGCAUGGGAGUUGCACUUAUAUUCACAAGGACAUUGCUAUACACGGAAGAAUGGAUGAUUGUUUUAGCAUUUACAAUUGAUUUAUUGUUUCACAAAUCUCAUGAUUGUAGUGUAUUGUCAAUUGUUUAACGACCAAGCUAUUGAGCUGAAAUAUUAAUAGCAUGUCCUUGACUGAUAACAAAAUCUUUGAUAACGUAGUAAACAGUUACCGACACCUGAGACAUGCAAAACAAAACAUAAUCAGGUGGUUUCUAUGGAAGAUAUGCAUUACCUGGGUAUGCAGGGUAUCACAAUUGCCAUUGAUCUCUAAGAUUUCAAAAUAGCGCUUGUAAUUGGAUAAGCAUUAUUUUUAGGCCAUACAAGUUUUAUUCUCUGCUAAGUGUCCCAAGGCAGGUAGGAUUUUGUACGAGUCUGACAGAAAAAUUAAUAUUUGAUAAUGUGAAAAAUAAAGUUGUAAUAUUUACAGACCCUGCCUCAACCUACACAAUCGAAUGCCCAUAUGUUUCUUUAAACCAUGAAGUCAUAAUUCUUUCAACUGUGGCAGUUUACGUAUAAUCAAAAUUUAAAAAUGUUGCUAUGUUUCUGGUUUCUUUUUCAAUUUUCUUUAGAAGAGUUGUCCUUUACUGAUCUUAAAAUUGUAGGAAUCCAAAUUUAAAAAAAAACUAUUGGUAAAAAUGAGAAAGUUUUUUUUUUGUAAGGGCAAACAACUUUAUUGAUCUUUAUAAUGCGAAUUUGUAAGUUUUCUUAAAUAUGGAAUAAGUGUGUUGUUUGCCAUAUUAGGAUUACCUUUGAAAUAUUUAAGUAAUCAUUGUAUAAAAUAUAUAUACAAUAUUCUGAGAUUGUAUGGUUUGUAAAUACUAAUUCUACUGAUGACAACUUAAGAUUGAUCUUGUAUAAUGCUUGUGUUUUGUUACUUAACCCUAAUAAUAUAGUUCAACUUAUUGUUUUAAAUUAUAAACAUAAUUCAUUAAUACUUAUAAUGUGAAGGUUACAUAUUGAUAGUUUUAUAUUUAUACAUUUUGUAUAUUCCAUCACUGCCAUGAAAAAAGGUUGUAAAAGCAAAUUUGUAUUGACUAGUUGUUUAACCUGCCUGGUUGGUAAAUUUCCAAAAAUUCAUUUGGACUCUUAAUGAAGAAUACAAUGUGUAUGGCCUUAUGCUGGCUAUGGCAUAUUCUCUUUUCUUAUAUAUAGCAGAGACAGUACAAAUCAAACUGGUUAGUUAUUUUAGUGAAAAACAUUUUUUAAAUGCCGUAUCGGUUAUUAAAGAGAUUUUAAGAAAAACUUGGCUCUCAAGAAUACCUCAAUAUUUCUAUAAAGUAAAAUUCAUCAAGAAACUCUAAUGGUGCGUAUUUUGAAUGAUUAAACAAUUAUUCUGAUUUAGUAAUGUUAGAAAAAGGGUUUCACCCCAUACUUAAAAUGUGAAGGGGCAAAUAAUUAAUAAUAUAAGACAUCACUCAACCCAGAAUCGCAUGGAGAAAUCACUAAAAUUAAAAAUGGCUUUGUGUUGAAGUGUCUUAAAGAUUGGUUUAUGGCAUCAUCAAUAGAGAAUCCACUAAUAAUCCAGUAAGAGUAUAAUAUUUUGUCUUCCUGUUCCAGAUAAUAACAACUAGUAUAUUGGCAAGUACCACAAGAUUACAAAUGUGAAACCAAUUCUUUUUGACAAUAGCCCAGCUAUAUAGGGAACAAGGAAGACUUCCUGUUAAAAUAUAUUAUAACUGUUCCAAUUUGAUAACACCCUUAGAUUUUAUACCACCAAGAUAAACUGAGAUUGAGUCAACCUGAAAGCUAAUAACAUGUAUUAAGUACUCUUAAGGGAGGUAUGAAUGUCCUGAAGAAUUAGUGACACCAAGUUGGUUACCAUAAAACAGAAACAAUGACGCAUUGUAUUUGUAGGGAAUAUAAGCAUUGCUAAAGAUAAAUUGUAACUGUUGAAUGGUAACUUGAAACUACAUGAGGAUCAGGUGAAACCAGCCUUUAUUUAAUCUUAUGGAAAUUUAUCUAAAAAUGCUCUGGUAAUGUAUUUUUCAACCUGAUUAAAUUUCAUUUAAAAAGUUAUGGCCAUCUAUGGUACAUUUAAACUGUAAGUUAUGCAGUAUUUACAUGCAGGUGUUGGUUUUACUGUCAGUACCUUAAGAUUUAUUAUUUAUAAAUGAUAAGAAUUAACACCGAGUAUGAAAUAUGGCAUUUUAUUGAAAUCCAGCACACCUGUGACCUGAAUAAACCAUAUUGAUCAGGAAAGACAAAUUUAUUGACAGAGUGAAUGUUUGGUUUGUCAAUAAUUCAGCAGGCCUAUAGCUUCAUAUUUGGAAUGAAUAAAGCUUUUGUUCUUUUGCACUUUGAUUUAACACUACUGUAAUUGAUAGGUUAGUGAUAAGCCAAAUGAAUCAAUCAAAAAGAUUUUUCUGAUUAGUUAAUUGUUUAAAUACAACAUUUAACUUUGCAUACAGUCUGAAGGUAACCUUGAGCUUAUGUGGAUUGCUUUUGAAACUUGACAAAAAACACAUGACAUUGAUUAUGAACUACAGUUAGGCUUCAUAUAUGUUCAAAAAUUGACGCUCCAAUGCUUUGCCAUUAUAUGGUGACACAAAAGCAUACAACUCACAGUAGCAUGCGAGAAGAACUGAUCCUCCACUACAAAUAUAAAUCUGAUAGCAUGUUUUGGCUUUUGUAAUUGAAGUCAAUGAUACCUGAUAGAAUUGCUGUACAUAAUUUAAACUUGUUUUGCAUUUCUUCAAACUGUUUAAAUUUACCUCGCCUACAUAACAUUUAACUGUUGGAAUGCAAGUCAACAGGAUAUUUUUAGGAAAAAGCAAUAGCUUAAGAGAGGUUUAAAUGUGUGAAUUAUGACUUAAGGUUUAGAAUUACACAGCUAUGCAUUAGGCAUGUUCUACAUUCUGUACAGGCAAUGACCAAAAAAUGCAUACCCUUCCCACAUAGAUAAGUUAUUAGCCAAGUACACAAUGAUCUGUUCAACUUAAGCUUUAUAAAUGUUUGUGUUAUAAAAAGCUUCAAUCAUGUUUACAUAGGCAAUAUAAAGGCAGUAAUUUCCCAAAUUUAUUUAUGCCAUAUUUCAAAAAUCAACAAUGAGAAAUAAAUCUGCCAUUGGAACAUAAAGAACAAUUAAAACAAUAAAUAAUUGCUCUUGCCCCAUAAUUGUACUUAGUUGAAAAUAGUAAUAAACGCUUGAAACAUCUGUCAAUACAUUACUCUGCAUGUUUUUCAUAUACAUGUAUUCCUUAAUUUUAUACUGAAUUAAACGUAUAUGUUGUUUAAAUGUGUUGUUGGCAUAAUUAUUAAUGUUAAUCUGUAACCAUGUUUUAUUUAUUGAAAGAUAAUGCACUCUGAAUUGUAUUACUAUUUUAAUGUGAUUUUGUUUCCCAAAUAUUGCAUUCUCAAUUUCUAACAAUGAUCAAACUUGGAUUUAUUUGAAAUGCACUAAUAUUAAAAUACUAAGCCACUGACUUAGUCUGUACAUACAUACUUGAAUGAUUCAUUGACAUUUUUUAGUAUUAAGAUAUUUCAAUUACUAAAAAGAUGUCUGUUAUAAUUGUUAUUUCAUGGAUUAGUAAUGAAUCACAUUAUUUAUUGCCUUAGAUUUUCUGAUGUUGCAUCCUUAUUGCAAGUUAUUUCCACCUGUUGUGUUGGAAUUGUCUGAUGGGGUUUGGUUUUGAGAAAUGACACUUUAAUACACGUAAUGUGUGUUGUUAAGAUUAAAAUUACAAACUUACAACAAAGCUGUGAUGAGUUUCCACCAUCAAUCUGCCAUUUAUUGGAUCUGUUUCCAUGGAAAUAUGAUGCCAUCUGAAAGUACAACCUGUUGCCAUGCCAUAUUGAUUGAGACAGAUCCUAAUCAAUGGUUAAAGGGUGGCUUUCAGACUUAAGAUGGUACAAUUUCUAAGUAGGUAAAAUCAAAAACAGACUUUGAACAAAGAUGCAUCAAUUGCUUUUACAUGUUGAAAUAACUGUAAUAUGCACUGAAAUGAGAGGAUACUUUCUUAGUUUUUUAAUUAAAUGUUGCACAUUUGAAUUUUAAUAUUACUGUUUUUACUUUUUUCCCUGUAUGCAUUGUUGUUUAUAUGAUGAAUUAAUGCACAGUUUUUGGUAAUUAUACAUGAAAAAAGGUUUUAAAAAAAGUACCCUAAACUACAUUAAUGCAGUUUUCUAAUAUUUAUGCCCCCCUUCGAAGAAGAGGGGGUAUAUUGCUUUGCUCAUGUCGGUCUGUCGGUCGGUCUGUCGGUCCGUCGACCAGGUGGUUGUCAGACGAUAACUCAAGAACGCUUGGGCCUAGGAUCAUGAAACUUCAUAGGUACAUUGAUCAUGACUCGCAGAUGACCCCUAUUGAUUUUGAGGUCACUAGGUCAAAGGUCAAGGUCACAGUGACCCGAAAUAGUAAAAUGGUUUCCGGAGGAUAACUCAAGAAUGCUUAGGCCUAGGAUCAUGAAACUUGAUCGGUAGAUUGAUCAUGACUCGCAGAUGAUCCCUAUUGAUUUUCAGGUCACUAGGUCAAAGGUCACGAUGACCCGAAAUAGUAAAAUGGUUUCCGGAUGAUAACUGAAGAACGCUUAUUCCUAGGAUCAUGAAACUUGAUAGGUAGAAUGAUCAUGACUCGCAGAUGACUCCUAUUGAUUUUCAGGUCACUAGGUCAAAGGUCAAGGGCACGGUGACCCGAAAUAGUUAAAUGGUGUCCGGAUGAUAACUCAAGAAUGCUUAUGGCUAGGAUCAUGAAACUUCAUAGAUACAUUGAUCAUGACUGGCAGAUGACCCCUAUUGAUUUUCAGGUCACUAGGUCAAAGGUCAAGGUCACAGUGACAAAAAACAUAUUCACACAAUGGCUCUCACUACAAAAGAGAGCCCAUAUGGGGGGCAUGCAUGUUUUACAAACAGCCCUUGUUUGUUAUUGUAAUAAAAAGCUGAAACGAAAAGCAUAUUCAAAAUCUGAACUAAAAGGAAGAGUUACAUUAAAUUUAACAUCUUGUUCAUGCUUCUAAUGUCUUGAUACUUAUAUACUGUUUAUAUCUGUUUAUAUUGUAUUAUUGUAUUGGUGAAUCAAGUGCUGAAAUAGAUGAAAGUGCUCUAUUAGUAACUUCAUUUUGGUUUCCUUUGCUAUUUCUUUGAGGUUUAUGAGUUUGUUUGUUAGUUCAUUGAAAUGUUGUUUUUUGUAAUAAACAUUUUCUGUAAGUUUGCAUCUUUUAAAUGUAAGUUUCAUUUUAUGUGUUUUAAUAAUGCCUUUGCUUUGGUUUUACUGUAUUUUGCUUAAAUGCACCUCUCCCUUAGUCAAUAGGUUCAUCCAUAGCCCCUUUUGUUGUUGGGCGCACAAUAAUACUUUGACCUACAGCAAUGAAAAUUGGUCUGAUGUUUACUUCUGGGGAAAAGAAAAGACCAAUAGAUGAAGGUUAAGGUCACUGGGGCUUGUAAUAGUAAAUAUGUUUCCAUACAAUAUCUUUAGAAUGCUUUGACCAUAUGAUUAUGUGACCUGGUUAACCCAUUAAUGCCUAACAUCUAGAAAAAAGGCCUUUGCAAACAGCGUAAACCCAGAUGAGACGCCGCAUGAUGCGGCGUCUCAUCAGGGUCUGCGCUGUUUGCUUAAAGGAAUUUCUGUAAGAAAUAUUCUAAAUAUAGAAAUACAUAUACUAGACAUCCAUAAUUUUUAAAAUAAAUUGAUCCAAUAAAUGGGUUAAGCACUUACCUUUGAGAAAGUGGAGAUGCCUACAGAUUUUGAUGUCACCUAGCCAAGAUCAUUAGGCCUUGUAACAGGAAAUUUAAUUUGUUUUUUUUUUUGUUGAGAGCACUUUGAAAUAACUUCUUGAAAUCUGUAAACGAUUGUUAUGGAAGGAAAAGAAGUUGCAUUUUGAUUUUGAGGUCAAAGAUCAAGGUUACAUUAGCUUGUUUAAAGAAAAAUGAUCACAUCAUGAUACCAAGAGAAUGCUAAACAUAUAUGAUCAUCGUAAUUGGUAUGCUGGUUACUUGGAAGGAAAUAAUGAUGUUUAUUGAUUGUUAAUGUCAUACAGUCAGAGGUCAUUGUCACAAAGGCUAGUUACAGGUAAUUCCUUUUCGUUCCAUAUCUUGAGUGUUUUGACCUGUGAUCAUACAUAUUUUUGUAGUGAUUUAAUGGGUGGAUAGUAAUCAGCCUAAUGAGAUUUAGGUCAUCAGUUCUAAGGUCACAAGGGCUCGAAUCAUGCAUUUGGUUUCCACACAAGAUCUAGAGAAUUAUUAGGAUUAUAUUUAUUAGUUUGCUGAUUGAUCUUUCAGAAGCAUGACCCCUAAUGAUUUUAAAAUCAAGUAGUCUAAGGUCAAGGUCACAGGGACAACUUUUCUGAAGGUUGGGAGUGGGGAAGCAGUAUACAUGUUUUAUAGACAUCUCUAGUUUUAGAUAAUGUAAUGUUUAAGUUGCACAGAAACACCCUUCAAUAACCAAGAUAUAUGCUUAUUUUCUACAUUUGGAAUGAAUGUCUGUGUGAAUAAAAUAUUAGUCAA